GUAAGCACAGAACAAGCACACGGCUGCUCUACAGGACGAGGUUCUUACAAUAUAGAAUUGUCUCAGUUGAUAUUUUCCGUAUAAGAGAAUUUUCCUGACUGACCCAUCAAGGAUGGAUAGGGACAGAGACAAGAUGGCAGAGAGGAUAUUUCAUCUCACCCUAGAGAUACUCUUCCAACUUACUGGAGAGGAUUACACAGUAGGUGAAGAAGACCUCUAGUGAGCGCUUUCAGGGUCCUGAGUCUGAAGGA